rnacentral:rRNA from 1 species
GGGGAAUAUUGGACAAUGGGGGAAACCCUGAUCCAGCCAUGCCGCGUGGGUGAGGAAGGCCUUUGGGUUGUAAAGCCCUUAAGGCGAGGAGGAGGCCCUUUUGUUUAAUACCCAAGUUAAGUGGCGGUUACUCGCGGAUUAGGCACCGGCUAACUCGGUGCCAGCAGCCGCGGUAAUACAGAGGGUGCGAGCGUUAAUCGGAUUUACUGGGCGUAAAGCGUGCGUAGGCGGCUUUUUAAGUCGGAUGUGAAAUCCCCGAGCUUAACUUGGGAAUUGCAUUCGAUACUGGGAAGCUAGAGUAUGGGAGAGGAUGGUAGAAUUCCAGGUGUAGCGGUGAAAUGCGUAGAGAUCUGGAGGAAUACCGAUGGCGAAGGCAGCCAUCUGGCCUAAUACUGACGCUGAGGUACGAAAGCAUGGGGAGCAAACA